rnacentral:rRNA from 1 species
UACGUAGGUGGCAAGCGUUGUCCGGAUUUACUGGGCGUAAAGAGCGCGCAGGCGGUCAGAUAAGUCGAAUGUGAAAGCCCCCGGCUCAACUGGGGAGGGUCAUUCGAUACUGUUCGACUCGAAGGCAGGAGAGGGAAGUGGAAUUCCAGGUGUAGCGGUGAAAUGCGUAGAUAUCUGGAGGAACACCGGUGGCGAAGGCGGCAUCCUGGACCGACACUGACGCUGAGGCGCGAAAGCUAGGGGAGCAAACGGG